UCAUCGUUCAUUUCCAGAUCAGAUCACAAGUACAACAACCUAUAGAGAACACAACCAGCGUUGAUCAUAUAUUAAUUUGUGGAAUGAGCCGUUUAGCAGUAACAAGUAUUUUAUCUAUAUGCACAUUCUACCUUAUAUCGGCAUUACCGGUCGAUUUAGACCGAAAUAAUGAUUUGGAAUUAGGCUAUAAUGAACCUAGCUUGGGAAGCUCAUUUCUGUCUAGACUGUAUUAUGAGUUAUUACGAGACGCGGCGGCGUCCCCGUCAUCGAUGAUGUCUAAACGAGGAAUAGGACCAUGUAUCAAUAACUGUUUGAAAGCUGGUGGAAGAAUGAAUUUUAUUCAGUGUAAAUCUAUGUGUCACUGAUGUUCUCAAUAGAAUAGCUAUGGUGACAUGCUGAACGUUGUUCAUCGGUGUUUGUUGACCAAAAACAAUGGUUCUACGUUUCCCAGAACUGAUCACAAACUGCCCAAGAUGAUCCAUAUGUUUUAAGUAUAAUGCCGAACCACUAUUUUCUGCUGUAUGAUAUAUUGUAUUGAAAUAAAGA